rnacentral:rRNA from 1 species
CAGCCGCCGCGGGAAUACGUAGGUGGCAAGCGUUGUCCGGAAUUAUUGGGCGUAAAGGGCUCGCAGGCGGUUUCUUAAGUCUGAUGUGAAAGCCCCCGGCUCAACCGGGGAGGGUCAUUGGAAACUGGGAAACUUGAGUGCAGAAGAGGAGAGUGGAAUUCCACGUGUAGCGGUGAAAUGCGUAGAGAUGUGGAGGAACACCAGUGGCGAAGGCGACUCUCUGGUCUGUAACCGACGCUGAGGAGCGAAAGCGUGGGGAGCGAACAGGAUAGAUACCCCUGUAGUCCCUGUCUCUUAUACA